UCCGGAGAUUCCCAAAUAGGUCAACCUUUUAAACUGCCUGCUGAAUCCAUGAGCAGGCAAGAGACAACCUGGCGAACUGAAACAUCUUAGUAGCCAGAGGAAAAGAAAGCAAAAGCGAUUCCCGUAGUAGCGGCGAGCGAAAUGGGAGCACCCUAAACCGUGAAAACGGGGUUGUGGGAGAGCAAUACAAGCGUUGUGCUGCUAGGCGAAGCGGUUGAGUGCCGCACCCUAGAUGGCUAAAGUCCAGUAGCCGAAAGCAUCACUAGCUUAUGCUCUGACCCGA
rnacentral:ncRNA from 1 species